GUUAGGAAUAUUGGACAAUGGGCGCAAGCCUGAUCCAGCCAUGCCGCGUGAGUGAUGAAGGCCUUCGGGUUGUAAAGCUCUUUAGUCCACGAAUAUAAUGACUGUAGUGGAAGAAUAAGCCCCGGCUAACUUCGUGCCAGCAGCCGCGGUAAUACGAAGGGGGCGAGCGUUAUUCGGAAUCACUGGGCGUAAAGCGUGCGUAGGCUGUUUUGUAAGUCAGAAGUGAAAGCCCAGGGCUUAACCCUGGAAUUGCUCUCAAAACUGCAAGGCUCGAAUUCGGGAGAGGAUAGCGGAAUUGUCAGUGUAGCAGUGAAAUGCGUAGAUAUUGACAGGAACACCAGUGGCGUAAGCGGCUAUCUGGACCGAUAUUGACGCUGAGGCACGAAAGCGUGGGGAUCAAACAGGAUUAGAAACCCGGGUAGUCC
rnacentral:rRNA from 1 species